CAGAGGCUGGAAGUGGAAGCUCCAAAGCAAAACAAGAAAGGAUCGCCUUGGUGUGUUUUCCGUCCUGGAAACUUUCUGGAACUGUUACCUGGUGGAAAGAAACAUCUUCUGGUCACUGCUUCUGUUUCCAAGUCAAGUUACCAGCUUUAGACUGCAGCCUCAUCACAAACAUUGUUUCACAAACAAUUUUCUCAAUCAUUUUGGGCACUUAGAUGGGACCAUAACAUCUGAAGCUACAUCCUAGGAUUUGAUAUUCCUUUUGGAGUUCUCUGCAUCCAGUCUGAAUCCCGGCUGCAAUAGAGAAAAGUGAAGAUGUCUUCCUCAAAGGCCCAACUCCAGAUCAAUUCAUCACAACUAUUCCCAGCAGGCCAGACUCAGACCCCACUUUGACCUGUUACGGUACCAACCCCGAGACAAGGAAAACAAAAUCCACAAGGACAAAAGCCUUGCUUCCGGCAGUCCCUUCACAGCAUCUGACGAGGCUACUUGGAGCCAUUAGAAAACCAAAGCCAGGAACAAAAUUACCCACUACAUGAGAUGGAGGAGCAAUGAUCGGCUGUGGCUUCAGAAGCUGUGCAUGAAGAAUUUUGCACUUGCAGUUAUUUGGAAGUGUCUUGGCUACAUGUUUUCAUGCACACAUCAUGAGGUUGGUAAUCUAGUCACCUGGUGCCACAAUUUCCCAUUGUUCCUAUGAAGAAUUCUUUUGAGCUAAUGGUGUUGUCAUCAUCCUCUUUGUCCACACUUUGCACACUUUCCUGGCAUGAGCGAAGGAAACCAAGCUUGUGGUUUAGAGACUGAAAACGUUAUGUCUUCAUAGGUUGGAGACACCUACCAAGCCAUCUCUGCCUGCAGGAGCCUAUGUAUUACAUAAUAUAGGCAAGAGUCUAUACUAAUCCUGAAAUGUUCAUGAAGUAAAGAAUGCUGAGACAUUUACAGCUGCCUGGCACUGAUGCUGACAAAAGAAAUGGAAAUCAGUGUAUCUGCCAGGCUUGUCAACACCUUUGAAAUCUGCCGCCGAGGCUGGUGCCCUGGAGAAUUAGUUGGAAAGGGUGAAAGAACCACACUGACAGAGACAAAGUCCAGCCCGCUGUCCCCAUUUCUUCCUUUGUCUUUGUUUCUUUUCCUCCUUCAUAUUUGCCUUGCUCUCUGCUGUUUUGAUCCCAACAUUAAUGUUGUAAUAUUGGUAAAUGCCUUAAUUAGAAGAUUUAUUAGCUUGUGCUUUCAAUCGUUUACUGAACAAAAGUAAUAUCAAAAUAAAAGCUAUUAUACAACCCUUUCUUUGGGUUCAAGCCGCCUCCUUUGAUUUUCAUUGUUAAACCCCCGUUGGCUUUAAUAAGGCCCUUCAUAGCUAACUUACAUACUUGCCAAAUUGGCUGCUUCAACUUAGUCACUUAAAGGUGCCUAAACAAAAGCCCAAGUUUUCAGAGAUGUGGGACAUCUUCAGUGCCUGUUAGCGUAACUGGAUAAAAUCAAAUACAUAUGCCUAACAGGGUAACUAAACACUGAAAAUGUUAGCCCUAGCUUACAACCACAGCAUAAUCUAUGUAGGUUGGCACCACACAGUUCUGGAUAUGACUUGCCAAUAUUGUGCUUUGUCCUGUGAUGGGACACCUUUGACCUUUGAUGGGAACCCACCUUAAAUCAGAAACACACAAAAAUUAAUUGAAGUAAGUAGUAGACAAAACAAAACAAAUCAAAAAACAAAGCUAGGAUGAGUUUGACAACUGUAAUUAAUGUUUAUCCAGAGCUUUGCUCCUGAUGAUAAUAUACACAGCAGCCAAUCAUGUAUUUUCAGGAUAUUUCUAAUAUUGCUGACUACUAAUAUUUCAGAAAUAUAAAACCAUUUCAGCUGUCAUCAGACCUCAAACAGCACUAUACCAGGGCAGUCCUUUGCACAACUUCCAGCCCUGUUCCAAGAACUGGGAGUGGAAAGUGUUUAAUGCACUAAGUUAUUAAACACCAAGCUAUAAACAAGCGCUUCAAUAUUUGAAGGAUCAUGACCUAUUACAUAAAAUCAUAAAAUGUAACUUGGUUUUCAAGUCACAUUAAUGUAAAAUUAUCCAAGGUUAUUUUAGAAUUUACAGAGCUACAGUUGGCCCUUUACAUAGGCAGGGAGAGUGUUGAUUAUGUAUUUAGCUUAAAGAUGGGGGGCAGAUUCAAAUUUAGUUACAUCACCAUAAAGAAAAAAAUCCCUUUAUUCUCCAUGUUCUAAAUGAUUAUCAUCCUGAAAUUUCCAUGCUGUAAAUAAAUAGAAUACAACAUUGUUGAGUGAUAAUUACCCGUCUUUGUAACACUUACAGGUGAAAAAUUCUAUCUGAACUGAGCGAUAUUACAUUGUACAGGCAUUUGAUGGACCUGGGGAAAGAUGCCCAACUUCAGUUCAUGGCUUUAAAAAUGUUCCACAUGAAUCAUGAUUUUGAGCAGGAUUUCACUUUACUGCAUUUUGUUGCAUCUAACAUGCCCCAGACUAUAAUACCACCUUGUUUUUGAAAUCCAGAAUGAAGAAAAAAAGAUAUUUCUGUGCAGCGAGUAAUUGAGCAGCAGCAGCUAUGGAGCAGUCUGCUUGUUGUUCUGCUCCCUGUGAGUUAAGUGCAGAUUUUACUUUUACUUUUGCCCAUAACCAACAGAAACAGAUACCAUAUUUCUCACAUGUUGCGUGCACUACAAUU